UACGGGGGGAGCAAGCGUUGUUCGGAUUUACUGGGCGUAAAGGGCGUGUAGGCGGCCACUGCAAGUCGGUUGUGAAAUCUCCGGGCUUAACCCGGAAAGGUCAAUCGAUACUGCAGGGCUAGAGUGCAGAAGGGGCAACUGGAAUUCUCGGUGUAGCGGUGAAAUGCGUAGAUAUCGAGAGGAACACCUGCGGCGAAGGCGGGUUGCUGGGCUGACACUGACGCUGAAAUGCGAAAGCUAGGGGAGCGAACGGG
rnacentral:rRNA from 1 species